rnacentral:rRNA from 1 species
AAACGAUAGCUAAUACCGCAUAACAGUAGAUAUCGCAUGAUAUUUGCUUGAAAGGUGCAAUUGCACCACUACCAGAUGGACCUGCGUUGUAUUAGCUAGUUGGUGAGGUAACGGCUCACCAAGGCAACGAUACAUAGCCGACCUGAGAGGGUGAUCGGCCACACUGGGACUGAGACACGGCCCAG